ACAAAAGGCCUUUCACAUUCAAAGCCAUGACAACCCCUCUGGGGUUGUCCAAGAAACAGUAUUACCUAACCUUACCCUCCUAAUAGCCUUGCCAACUGACUGAGAGACAGACUUAAGGGGAAAAAAAAUCCCUGUCUUCUUGAACAAAUACAGGGCAAGACUUGAUGUCCAUUCCCCAGCUCCUGCAGUACUGAGUGGAUGAAGGAGUACUUUGGAGAGCCAGGUAAAAGCCUCAGAGUUUUAUUGUACUCACUGAACAUCUGUGUCCCAAUUUUGCUGAGAAAACCGUGACUUGAAGAUUCAGCCAUUUGCUCUGUUUCAAGCUAACAAAUCACCUGUGUGGAAUCUGUAUGUGGGCUCAUGUGACUCCAGAGCAUCAAACAGCAAGCAUAAUUUCUGAAUCUCAGAUGUUAGUGAGGAGUGAUCUCCUAACUACAAUAUUGCCCAGGUUUGUAAUGAAAGAAACCCAGUAGGUCUAAGGAGGUUAGGUGUGGGAGGCAGCCAUGGCUCUCUGCCCCUUCACCAGGAGACUGUGCUAGCCCAGGGUCUAGGAGUGGGUCAACCCAUUGGCCUCACCUUCAGAAGAAGUUUAAAGACACUCUACUAAGCCUCACCAUCUCAGCAGAGGAUAAAGGGACAGGCGAGCAUUUGAAUGCCAGGUCUCCUGCUGUUUGAGUCUAAAUCUGCUCCCCAGAGUAAUGAAAAGAAUCAAAUAAAGCUUAUUCAAGAAAGCCAUCUCUAGUUCGGUGGUUCCUAAAACAUACAAUCACUAUGCUCAUGUAUGUCCUCAUUUAUAUGAGUUUUGCUGAGCUCAUUAAUAUCACUGACCUUUACAGGGCACCCUAGAGGGUCUCUUAUGGUCACAUAAAGACUAGAACUGAAAAGGUUCAAGCUGACCCACAAAUGCAGGCCUGAAAUCCCAGCUAUUACAGAGGCCAAGACAUGAGGAUUAUAAGCUCAAAGACUACCUGGGAUAAAGAGUGAGUGAGAGGCCACCAUGGACAACCUCGUGAGACUAUGUCUCAAACUCAGGAAGUGACGAGAGCUAGAGAUAUAGCUCAGCAGAAAGUGUUUGCCCAACAUAUGCAAUGCCUUAGGUUCAAACUCCAAUACCACAAAAGACUUCAAUAACAUGAACAAUAUGUUUAAGAAUGGACAACCACUAAAUGGCAGCAUUAGCACUGGAUCCUAAGUAUCUCAGAACCCCCAAUACAUCCUCCCUCACAUCUGAUGCUUUCUUCCAGUCCUGUGUCUCCCCCCGACUCCCCACGCACCAACCUCUCUGGCCUGGUUCUCAGCCCCAUAUAACAAAAGCAAACAUAGCCGCACCAAAAUGACAGGAUGACUCAGGGCAGAGUAGGAGAGGUCAGUGAUCUCAAAUUAAGGGGAACUGAAGCAGAAGGGGGGGCAAUCCCAGGAAAGAACCUGGAUUCAGAGACAGAAAAUUCCAGAGCAUACUGUGAAGACAGGGAGCACCCAGUGUGGUAAAAUUGAGGCUUUCAGAAAGGAAACUGGUUGAAAAUGUGGGAAGGACUAGAGUUAUGGUAAGGAAGACCUGACACCAUGGGCCCAUGGGGACACCAGCUGUUUCUGGAUAAGUGAGUGAAGAUCACGAAAAGGAAUUGGGGGAUGAGGCCAACAGGCUGGGGAAGAGCCAAGCAGGAUGGUGGCACCAAGAGAUGGAUGUCAGAAACACCAUCCUAUUGAUGGUAGGCUCCAAGCUUCUGUGGCAGCAGGACAUUAGCAUAUACAGCAUCCUCUGCCUGGACACUGCCCACAACCACCCACACCCGCUGCUGCCUACCCUACUGUCUCUACCAUAACCUUCCCAGCCUAGUCCUAAGCCAGGAUUUUGCAUUCUCUUUCAUUGUACUCCAUCUCUGCCCCCCCCCACACCCUCACUGCCCCCACCUUUAACACUUGUGAGAUCAUGAAUGACCCUCCCCCUAGCCCUACCCCCACCCAGUAGUCCUGGUAACUUCUCACCACCCAAGCAGGCAGGGCCGCAAGGCUGCCAUCAACUGGUCAUUUAUGCUGUCUUUGCUGUGUUCCAGAAGCAAAUGGUCCAGGGGCCCAUUAGACCGAUGCCUGAACUCACUUGGGGAAGUAGUGACCUAAUCAAAGAUUAUGUGGACAGGGUGGAUAAAUCAAAGGGUGGGAGCUUAUGCAUGUUCCCUCGAUUCACUAUCAUCUGGGGAAGCCCCUCACAUCCUGAGCCCCAAUCUGCCACCAUCCUCUUAGAAGGCUUGCAGAACUGUUUAUCACGUUUCCAAAGUGAUUGACUUCUGAUGAGAGGUUCCGGAGCUCAGGCAAACGCGCCUGGCUUACAGGGUAUUGUGAGUAAAAGAAAAGAAAUAACAGGUACGCUUCAAGUGUGGGAGCUGAAAAAGAAGCUAAUUAAAUGUCAGGGCUGGAGUUUAACCCACUUGAAGAGGGUGUUUCUAUUCUGGAGUCACUAGUUUCUCAUUCCCAAACUCAGACUCUGAAACACCCACCCUGGCUAGAAAAGCUUACGUAGGAACCCUGUGAGCCGAGGCGGGCUGCAAAGCUGGCCACUGGAUUGGAUGACAGCCCGGUCUUCCCGUCCACACAGAUUGGAUUGGAUGAUGGCCCUGGUCUUCCGGUCCACCCAGACUGGAUUGGAUGAUGGCCCCGGUCUUCCGGUCCACCCAGACUGGAUUGGAUGAUGGCCCCGGUCUUCCCGUCCACCCAGACAUAAGACUUCGGAAAUAGAGGGCUUGGGAGAUUGGAAGAGCCACAGGCUACACUCAUUCGUCUUCAUUGUGUCUGAAAGAAAUGAAAACAGGACCAGGAGACAAAGCUCUACCAACAUGGCAUCGGAAUGGUCAUGUUUGGAAGCAGAUAACAGUGAAAUCAAGACAUUGUAGCUCGAGGCAGAUGCAAGGGACUGGCCCAUAGUGAGGUCUGCUCUCCUCACAUGCCAGACCCUGGACUUUGGACUGUUUGUUUGCAUCCCCGUCCCAGGGACAAGUCUUUGUGACUGUCUCACAGAGAGAACUGGCACCGUGCAGAGGGGUUUCCAAUCUUCUCUGACUAGAGAGGUGGGCAAAGUGGUAGCCCAGAGCUGGCCCCUCAGGGAGUCGUGCUGCCUGAGGCUGGAGUCAUCACCCACUUUCCUAAAGGACACAGGACCCUCUGGUCCCCUGCCAUCCUCCCCCUGCCUUCAGGACCACACUAUUCUUCCACCCUCAGAAGAAAAGUAGGAAGGGCAUGCCUUGUUGCUCCCGACUGCCUUCUGCAUAGGAGAAAGGGUUGUAGUAAUCGUGAAGUUGGUGCCUUCUGUAAGUCCUCUGCCUAGCAGCUUGAAGAAUGUUUCCCUGGGACUUUCUCCCAGCUGGUGCCCACAACCACCCUGCCUGCUCUGUAGCCAGGAAAAUGGAGGCCCAUGGGUGACUUAGACUACACAAUCUAUUAAGCAAGACUCCUUUUCUAGUGCUCUCCCUGCCCCACUAUUCUACAGAGUCCCUGCAUUCUCAGAGCCAGGCCCCUGUUAGGCUAGAAUUUCCAAGGUAGAAAUCCCAGCUGGGGCACUCAGGGUUUAGCAACAGCUGCUCACCAGGCCUGAUAAUCCCUCCUUCAACCUGGAAGUCCAGGGGCUCGGAAACGAGUGUGAGAGGUAUAAAUAAAUCUAUGCCAGGA